UACAGAGCUCUCUUUCGAAAGGGUUCCCAAUCUGGAGGAAGUGUGUGUUGUGAUGAAGGCAAUUAAUGUGAUUUCUACUUUUGCUCGGUUAGAGAAAGAACUUCCUCAUGUCAAGACCAUGACAGUUACUAGAGAUCAUUUGCGUCGGGGUUACUAACUAUUCAACAAAGGCUCGGGGUUUGGACUGGUGUUUUGUUUAAUAUCCAAGAUAGCAGCUCUCUCCUAGAAGUUUUACCCCUGCUUCAGAAAUUCCAUUUGGCCUCGAAUCUUCACUGCAUCGACUAUUGUUGUAGGUGUCCGAUAUAAACUUGUACCGUUUUGCAUCAGAUUGUUACAGAAUAUUUACCCCUGCUUCAGAUCAUGGGGCGUUAUCAUUUAUAGUUGGUGUCGAAUUUACUUUCCGAAACCUAGAAAUUCAAACUCACAUGUAUAAUUUACUUGGGGAAGAAUUCAGAGGAUUUUGUAGAAUAUAUGGUGUAAAGUGAAAUUUAUUAGCAUUGUAGUUCUUCGUUUUUAUGUAAUGGAGGAAUUUCAAGUUGAUUUUU